GUCUUCUCUCUUUGGGAGCCCAUGUGUGACGGAGAAAAAAUGGGAUACCAAACUGACAGUAGGUAUGCUAAGAAUCACGACCUCUGGAUGAAUAUAAUUGAUUUAGGGUUUGAUACAGUCCUCAAGCUCCAGACAUUUGCAGGAAAAUAGGUUUGGGGUCAGAAAAUGCCCACUUGGGGAGAAAACUUCAGGACUUUCCCUCAGCACUUGGUUUCACACCACAGCUGAGAAUGUCCAGGCCCACUCCCAACAUUCUUGAAACAGGUAACAGAGGCCAUUCUCACGUCUCCAAGGAGGAUGGAAUAAAAACAGCCCCAGCUGGUGAGAUUCUUCUGGAGUUGAUCUGCCACAAAGCUGAUUUAUGCCUUCCUCACUUCUGCAUUUAUUUGCAAGGAAGCCACCUAGCCUGCUGUGAAGAUCAACAGCUUGGAGUCUGUCCCAUAAAGUGAAAUGAGAUGAGACUGAGGGGUUGGGGAUGAGAAACAGAAUGAAGAUGUUUGGAUAAGAGAGGAGAUGGAAAAGGAGACAGGCAUUAUUCAGGCAGCAUGACAUGAAGAAACGGUCCAUACUACAGAAGAGCAGUUUCUAAUAAAUAGAUCAUUGUGUCUCAAAGAUAAAGAAAACUUCCUGUUUCUAAUUAA